AGGGCCGUCUAAAUUAAUUAGAGGGAGGUUAUAAAUGGAGGAGAGGCUGAUCGAACGUUCCAGAUCAACCUGGAGGUACCCAGCGCUCUCGAUCUUUCUCGGUGCCUGAUGACCCGCGACCAGGCCACCUCACGACGGCGCACCACCACCAAUUGCUUCCUCUCCUCGUCGCCGACGUCUCUCUGGGGUCAGGUCUUUCAACCGGAAGCUCUGGCGCGAGAAUCGACACCAUGAAGCCUCAUGUCUUCCGGAGAGUUUCUGCAACUUCCGGUGACCGAUUGGGCUGCAUGUGAAGCUGUGAAUGAGUGGAAGUCGAUUUGGCAGUAUGUUUAUAGCUGGGUUACAGGAAAGAGUUGAAAUAGAAGCUUGGGUUCUCACCUGCAAGUCGCACUGCUGAAGGACUCCAGUUACCUGAGGAACUGAAGGUUCGCGACUCUCAGAGUACGUAAGAGAAAGCAUCGGAAUCCAGGUAGGGAUUCAGGACUCUCCUCGGUUAGUGAUUUUCUUAUAUUGUUAUUAAAUGAUGCAUGUUAGUUGGUAUGGUUUGGUUAUGUUCAAAUGCAAUGCAUACUAACCAAACCAUGUGAGAAAUGUGAUGGCUUGAGAGCGAAGGGUGGCUCUGACUUCCUUGGGUUCGAUCCCCAAAACCUCCGGAGGGUUAGUUACACCGGUCGGACGGUGAGCGAUCGCAAUGACGACCCGAUCCGUGUGUGUAGCUAGGUAGCGGACGCUCUCGCUACGCUUACCUGGUGAUAAAUUAAAUUGAGGUAAGGUCGUGUAGUGGGUCUAUGGGACCGGCCAUCAGGUAAAACUUGGAUUUGGCGCCGUAGUUGUUUAAGCAUCAUGCAUCAGUUUUCAAGUUGAAAAACAUUAAAGUUUGUCGUUUCUUUUAAACACUUGGUUUAAGCAUGUUUUCAUACUGAGGCCUCAAUAAUUUAUUUACCGAUUUUCAAAUCUAGUCGAGAUAGAGUUCCUGUUGAGCAGCGAGGACGAAAGCUCACCCCUA